rnacentral:rRNA from 1 species
AUUGAACGCUGGCGGCAUGCCUUACACAUGCAAGUCGAACGGCAGCGCGGACUUCGGUCUGGCGGCGAGUGGCGAACGGGUGAGUAAUACAUCGGAACGUACCCUGUUGUGGGGGAUAACUAGUCGAAAGAUUAGCUAAUACCGCAUACGACCUGAGGGUGAAAGUGGGGGACCGCAAGGCCUCACGACGCAGGAGCGGCCGAUGUCUGAUCAGCGAGUUGGUGGGGUAAAGGCCCACCAAGGCGACGAUCAGUAGCUGGUCUGAGAGGACGAUCAGCCACACUGGGACUGAGACACGGCCCAGACUCCUACGGGAGGAAGCAGUGGGGAAUUUUGGACAAUGGGGGCAACCCUGAUCCAGCAAUGCCGCGUGUGUGAAGAAGGCCUUCGGGUUGUAAAGCACUUUUGUCCGGAAAGAAAUCGCGCUGGUUAAUACCUGGCGUGGAUGACGGUACCGGAAGAAUAAGCACCGGCUAACUACGUGCCAGCCGCCGCCGUAA